CCCUUAGAUGUUCUGGGCCGCACGCGCGCUACACUGAUUCAUGCAACAAGUUUUGUCCUUGGCUGAUAGGCCUGGGUAAUCUUUGAACGUGAAUCGUGAUGGGGAUAGAUGAUUGCAAUUAUUCAUCUUCAACGAGGAAUUCCUAGUAAACGCAAGUCAUCAGCUUGCAUUGAUUACGUCCCUGCCCUUUGUACACACCGCCCGUCGCACCUACCGAUUGAAUGGUCCGGUGAAAUCUUCGGAUCUGAGAGAUGUCUGAUUAAUUUCGGACGCCUUUUGGAAAAGUUGUUUAAGCCUUACCAUUUAGAGGAAGGUGAAGUCGUAACA
rnacentral:rRNA from 1 species